rnacentral:lncRNA from 1 species
AAAAUAGAAUAGUGGACACGGGCAAACCACCCCAACAUCUACAGGGGCAAAAGGUAAAUGAAGAUCCAUAAACUAUAUGUCUAAACCUCCUAAAGUUAUAAAUCAAUUGGACAGCAAGUGAACAGACUUUUAAGUAAAAUACGUGAUAUUCUCCCACCUUGACAAACAGAUCUUGAUAGCAAACUGGAAGCCCAGAGUUCAUAAAUUUAGUGUUCUUGGACUCCUCAGAGUUCCGGAAUGCAAUAAUGCAAGCAGACUGGUCACCUGCCCUGGCCUCUGGUCUCUGACCAGAUCCCUUUCUCUUCCCAUCCUGGCUCGGACCCCACACGACCAGGGAUUUCAUUCACAGGCACAGAUGUGCCACAGGAAGGAUAACAUGAAUGGCCAGACACUUUGAAAACUUCUUGAAAAGAUGGAAUGGGAUUGAGAAAGUCCGGCCUGCUAGGGGGCAUGCUCUGAUUGUCCACUGUGUGAGUAAGUGCCCUGAACUUCAUGACUGAAAACGCCGGCGUCUGUUUCACUCAUGGAUCUGCAUUUGAGGCAAGACUCGGCAGGACCGGCUUCUCUCCACACCACCGAGCGUCAGCUGGAGCAGCUCAAGGCUGGAGCGUGGAAUCACCACAGGCUCGCCCACUCGCUCACAUGGGCAGUGGCUCAUGCUGGGGAGACUCACAGGAAAGGAGGAAGAAAAUUACACAAGGAGCCAACCCAUCAGGGACACAGAGGACAAACCCAGGAAGGCGUUUCUGUCCAGGAGAGAAGAGCAAGAACGUCCUGCACAAAGACGUGAACGCUUACCUUAUGGCCCCAGUGGGACAAGAAGCGUCAGCCUCAGCCCAGGGCCAACGACGCCAGUUGACGUGAUGGGGCAGCACCAGGCCAUGUCACCAUGGGGCUAGCCGAGGGGAAACUGAGAAGAGCAGGUGCGCUGGCUGCUCCUAAGAGUGUCC